AUUGCCUCUCAACCUUUGGCAAAGAUCAUGUGUAGUAUCUGUUCUAAUCAGUUUAAUAUCUGAUAUGUCCUCUAUCCGAGGACAAUGAAAAAAAAAAAGAAAUGUUAUAUAUAGAUAUUUUCUUUUUUCUUCUU
rnacentral:snRNA from 1 species